CUUGGACAGAGACUUCACGUCAGCCGACACACGUUUACAACGAAUUUACACAGAUCACCGACAGCCGCAGUCGACCCAGAUUCGUAACCACAGCAUGUGCUGCAACAACCUGAAGCUGCAGUGAAAGUAGAGUUAAUGUUCGACGCUUGUGCAUCGAGGAAGCGGCUGCCGCGUUUCCACCAUCUCACUGAGGAAUCCAGAGCAUCACAACGCUAAGAUAACUACAAGAUGGCUGCUCGUCUAUUUAAAUACCCCGAUGACUCUAAGACAAUGGAGAAGCAAAAAGACAAGAAACUGCGUGGCAAUAAAGACACUCUUUUUUACGAUGAAAAUGAUACUGGUGGAAGAGCAAACCUGAUUUUCUUCAGCAAAAAAGUGAGAGAAUGGCUAAACGCAAUGCAGACAAAGUAUAAACUUGAGGAAAGUAAAACCGAGACAACGUACCCAGACACCAAACACACUCCCAGAAAUGGCAGCAUUAAACAUAAACAAUUAGGACAGUUCUCCCGACCAGCCAGAGGGCGCUCUUCCAACCCAAACCAACCCAUCCAUGCCAACCACACCUGAUGAUAUAGAUUGAUAAAAUAGUAAGAAGGAAAAGAAAUAUAUAAAAUGGAUAAUUCCAAGUAACUGCUUGUUAACGCUUUAAUUAUUAAGAUUCAUUUCAUGGAUAGGUAACUAGAUUGUAAAAUCAACUACAUAUUGUUUUCUGUUUUGUUAUUCAGUUUGUAAUUUACACUACAACUUCUUUCUUUUCCCCUUGGGGAUUAAUAAAAGUGUAUGUUUAUAUAUUGGUUUAGAAUCGUGUCCCAAGAGUUAAAACUAUACUGACUACGUAUCUUCUGAUCGAGUCUCGUGACCGUGUCUGAAUGUUGUGGGGACCGUCUUGUACUCACUGAGCAGGUGGUAGUUGGAGUCCCUCUCGUAUUUGAAGGUCAGUCUUCCAUAGCUGACAUGGUUGAGAUUCUUCAGCCACUCGAAAUAGGACACCGUCACACCGCCAGCAUUCAGGUACAUGUCCUGCAGGAUGAAACGCGUCACACACACACACUAUUUGAUCUUUGCUCUUCUGUGUUUUGAAAUAUUUUUUAGGAACUUUCUCAUGUAUUUUUUCUUUUAAGAUUUUAUUUGGGAAGAACUGCAUUUCUGUUAAAUAAAAAGACACUGGAACUUUCUCAUGUAUUUUGUCUUUUAAGAUUUUAUGCUUUUGUGAAAGUGUAAAAUAAAAUAAAAAGUUAAGUAUAACACAUAAUCUGCAUAUAAAUCUGUUGCUUACACAAUAAAAGAUGGAUUUUAGUCAACAUAA